AUGGAGUCGCGGUUCAUUCUCAGCCCUUGGGUCUUUAGCCAACCAGGUGCAGUGUUGGGUGACUCGGUCUGGUCCAAGGAAGCCGACGUGUCCAGGUCAGAAGGAGACACCGUGACCCUCAUCUGUUCUUAUGAAACCAGCUACACCGCUGGCGUCUAUCUCUACUGGUACCGUCAGUACCCGAACCAAGCGCCGCAGUACAUCCUCCUGAGAGGAAUGAAGGAAGUCAGAUCUGUUACUGAUACCGCAGGUUUUGCCCAGGAGAGAUUUUCUUCGCAGGCUAAUGACAGCUCCACACUCUGAACAUCGUAGCCCUGGAACUGGCUGACACCGCGGUGUAUCUCUGCGCCCUGUGUCUAGCACAGUGACAGAGCCACAUCGCAGAGAUGUACAAAAACCCUUCCAGCCCUGCUGCAGGGGAUGUUACAGGCAUUAAAAGGGGGCAGCAGGGCCUUGAAGAAGACUGAGU